rnacentral:rRNA from 1 species
UGGGGAAUUUUGGACAAUGGGCGAAAGCCUGAUCCAGCAAUGCCGCGUGUGUGAAGAAGGCCUUCGGGUUGUAAAGCACUUUUUGUCCGGAAAGAAAUCCUUGGCUCUAAUACAGUCGGGGGAUGACGGUACCGGAAGAAUAAGCACCGGCUAACUACGUGCCAGCAGCCGCGGUAAUACGUGGGGUGCAAGCGUUAAUCGGAAUUACUGGGCGUAAAGCGUGCGCAGGCGGUUUGCUAAGACCGAUGUGAAAUCCCCGGGCUCAACCUGGGAACUGCAUUGGUGACUGGCAGGCUAGAGUAUGGCAGAGGGGGGUAGAAUUCCACGUGUAGCAGUGAAAUGCGUAGAGAUGUGGAGGAAUACCGAUGGCGAAGGCAGCCCCCUGGGCCAAUACUGACGCUCAUGCACGAAAGCGUGGGGAGCAAACAGGAUUAGAUACCCUGGUAGUCCACGCCCUAAACGAUGUCAACUAGUUGUUGGGGAUUCAUUUCCUUAGUAACGUAGCUAACGCGUGAAGUUGACCGCCUGGGGAGUACGUCGCAAGAUUAAAACUCAAAGGAAUUGACGGGGUCAUAGCUGUUUCCU